rnacentral:rRNA from 1 species
GCCAGACUCCUACGGGAGGCAGCAGUGAGGAAUAUUGGUCAAUGGGCGAGAGCCUGAACCAGCCAAGUCGCGUGAGGGAAGACGGUCCUAUGGAUUGUGAACCUCUUUUGCCGGGGAGCAAAAAGCGGUACGUGUACCGCAUCGAGAGUACCCGGAGAAAAAGCAUCGGCUAACUCCGUGCCAGCAGCCGCGGUAAUACGUAGGGGGCAAGCGUUAUCCGGAUUUACUGGGUGUAAAGGGAGCGUAGACGGUGCGCCAAGUCUGGAGUGAAAUGCCGCAGCUUAACUGCGGAACUGCUUUGGAAACUGGCGAACUAGAGUGCGGGAGGGGUAAGCGGAAUUCCUAGUGUAGCGGUGAAAUGCGCAGAUAUUAGGAGGAACACCGGUGGCGAAGGCGGCUUACUGGACCGUAACUGACGUUGAGGCUCGAAAGCGUGGGGA